rnacentral:rRNA from 1 species
AACGAACGCUGGCGGCACGCCUAACACAUGCAAGUCGAGCGCUACCUUCGGGUGGAGCGGCGGACGGGUUAGUAACGCGUGGGAACAUGCCCUUCACUAAGGAAUAGCCACUGGAAACGGUGAGUAAUACCUUAUACGCCCUUCGGGGGAAAGAUUUAUCGGUGAAGGAUUGGCCCGCGUUAGAUUAGAUAGUUGGUGGGGUAACGGCCUACCAAGUCGACGAUCUAUAGCUGGUUUGAGAGGAUGAUCAGCAACACUGGGACUGAGACACGGCCCAGACUCCUACGGGAGGCAGCAGUGGGGAAUCCUAGACAAUGGGCGCAAGCCUGAUCUAGCGAUGCCGCGUGAGCGAUGAAGGCCUUAGGGUCGUAAAACUCUUUCACCAGGGAUGAUAAUGACAGUACCUGGAAAAGAAACCCCGGCUAACUCCGUGCCAGCAGCCGCGGUAAUACGGAGGGGGUUAGCGUUGUUCGGAAUUACUGGGCGUAAAGCGUACGUAGGCGGAUUAGUAAGUUAGGGGUGAAAUCCCGGGGCUCAACCCCGGAACUGCCUUUAAUACUGCUAGUCUUGAGUUCGAGAGAGGUGAGUGGAAUUCCGAGUGUAGAGGUGAAAUUCGUAGAUAUUCGGAGGAACACCAGUGGCGAAGGCGGCCCACUGGCUCGAUACUGACGCUGAGGUACGAAAGUGUGGGGAGCAAACAGGAUUAGAUACCCUGGUAGUCCACACCGUAAACGAUGAAUGCCAGCCGUCGGGCAGUAUACUGUUCGGUGACCCACCUAACGGAAUUAAGCAUUCCGCCU